CUCUGGGAGCCAACCAAAGGCGCGAAUCUGGAGCCGAAGAGGCAGGAUCGCCAAGCGGACCCGUUUUGGAGGUCACAGCUCCUCUGGGCGCGGCUUAGUGGCGGAGCUUGCCGUGAGGGGAGGGUCUUCCACUUGUCGCCAGCGUGAACUCUGGUGCCCCGUGAGUGUUCGGAAUGGACCCCCAAAUCUGCCCCCGCCAGGUCGCACUCGACUCUGUUUCGACGACUUUUUUUGUAUCACUUUCUCUUUCUUUUUGCCUUGGGGUCCCUUUGGUCCCUCCCUUUCUCUUCGCUCUCAGAAAUCCGAGUUUCGCAGAUGCUUAGCUCAGAGGAGAAAACUGUGUGCGGAAUUAAGUCCUUCCUUCUGUUAGGCAGUUGGAUGGGAGGGACCAAAAAUCACUUGGUGUCCUGACAAGAUUUGUUACUGUUGCUAAGAUCGUCAGCUCUAAUGCUUUGAGGGAGAUAACUUCCUGCAAACCCAGAACUUUCGGAUUUCUUCCGAGCUUGAAGCUUCUUCACUUACCACACCAGAAGAAACCUUGCAUGUGUGCAUUCAACAUGUCCAAGCUUAUGUCCACAUCCUUCACUUCCUGCAAAUAGUGAUGUCUAAUCAGCACAGCUCUGUCUGCCCCCUGAUCUGGGCACACAUGGUCCCCUGAUCUCAUGGACUCCUUACACUUUGCAAUUGGAGGAAGAUCCUUCCAGAUCACGCCACAUGAAGAUGGAGGCAGAUGUUGGACUGAUGCUUCUACAAGCCAGAGAACUCCAAGGUGGCCAGCAUAUCAUCAGAAGCUAUGGGAGAGGCAUGAAACAGAUCUUUCCCUCACUGCCCUCAGAAGGAACAGGUGGUGCUGACACCUUGAUCUCGGAUUCUAGCCUCCAAAACUGAAUUGAGAAGCUUGAUGUGGAGAUAGCCUAAAAGUGAAAGAAGGAGAAGUAUUCAAGGAGGAAAGAAGUAGAGGAAGAAACAACACAUCAUUUCAAUCUGCAAAAGGUAUAGGAAAGACAAAGAAUACAAGCCCUAGAAACUGGUUUGAACUCCAGCAAGUGAUUUCAACAAAAGAACAAAGUGACCAAAAUAACAAAAGACCAGUGAUGUACUUUCAUCUUCUAAGGAACUAACAGAACCUGGAGAACGAAAACCUUCACAUCAAAUUGGAUUCAUGAGCUGUAUACACUGGGCAACGAUGACAGCACAAGAAAUAAUUUCAACUAACUUGUAAGAAAUCAAGUCAAAUUUAAUUUCUACAAUUAAAUGGACUUUUUUUUCUUCUUAAACAGUCAACUACUUAAUUGAAUGGUCAGCUAACCACUGAAUUAGCUAUAGAAAAAUAUUUUUUUAAUUAACCAAGUUGUUAAUUGAUUCCCACAUGUCCCAUCAGCAAGUCCCCUUUCUGGCCCACAGCAGCCUUUUCAACACACUAAUAGGCAUUACAAUCAGACCUACUGGAUAAGAAAAACUACCUUUGGUGUUGUGUCUAUGCUAAAAAAAAACAAAAAAAACAAAAAAAAACUUUGAACUAUUUAAUUAACCUGUAAAUUUCUGAGUCUGGGAAAUUUCAUUUACUCUUUAUAACAAAUGUGAAUGCGGAUAAAGUCACUUCAAGAGAUAAACUGAUAGCAGUUUUAUGAAAUAAGUAGUAGGAUUCUAAGCGUUUUAGAAGAAUCUAACGUAAGAUAAAAAUUCAGAGAAGAAAAACUCUGAUUCAGACAGCUUUUACUAUUUGGAAACCCAUAUAAUGACCUAUCUCAUUUGGUAAUUCCAAAAAUUAGGUUUCAAAAUACCAUACAUCACCCAUAUUAUAAUGCCACUUAUAUUCCAAAGUACUUAAAUAUUUGGAAAAAUUUUUUGUACCUGCAA